rnacentral:lncRNA from 1 species
UGGGUGUUGGGGAUGUGUGCACUGAGGGAAUGACAGAACCUUGCACUCAAAGUACCCAGGAUAUUCUUAAAAUGUGAUAUCAGCCUGGAAGUACUGCCUCUGAUUUCAGUGGAUGCACACACUUCCCUUUUUCCUGCCACCUCACCAACUCAGAAGAAAGCAGCUGCAGAGACUUCUAAUCCCAUAUUCCAAAAUGUCAGGGAAACUCCACAGAAGCCCCAUGCGAGUGGUGCCUAUUGUUUCCAUGAGCAGAGCCUCCUCUCAGACACUAAAGCAGAGUGCAGUUCUGGUGUAGAAACUGAGGACAGAAAAGUAAGUGCCUUGUUUUAAUGUGAUUUUUCAGGCAGCUCUAGUGGCGGGGAUUUUCUCUGGUUGUUGUUCAGGGGUUUUUUUAUUAAACCAUGUGAAAUUAUUUUAUGGUUCUUAGCAUGUGUAAGUGCUCAUGUUGUAUUUUAACUUCAAUGGGGAGAAAUCAGUCUUACUCUAUUGAAUAUACUUGUUAAAAAUUUGAAUAACUGUUUCAGAAGAAGCAGAAGUGAAUUAUAGUACUAAUCUCUUUGUGCUACAAAAAAAAAGUUUACAAGGCAGUUGCACUUCUUAUUCUUAAUUUACAUUGUUAACAAAGUUAUUGUGAGUCUGUUAUGGUAAAGUUGGCAUACCAUGUUAAAUAUUUGUAAGACAGCAAGAUAAUUGCUUUUUCUUGCUUUAAAAGUAGUACCUUUGAAACCUUAUUUUUUUU